UGACCACACAUUUUCCCCACAGCAGCUCCUGGAAGGGGGGGUCCGCAUAAGAUUUGACCCACAGAUCUCUUCCGUUAUAGAUCUGACCCCCAUCAGCCCCACAACAGCUCCUGCCCCAUAGAUCUUCUAGUUAACUAACCCAAAUCAGCCCCGCAGCAGCUCCUGCCCCAUAGAUCAGACCAACAUCAGCCCCACAGUAGCUCCUGCCCCAUAGAUCUGACACACAUCAUAUGUAAAGCAGCUGCUGCCCAAUAGAUAUGACCCACAGCAGCUUCAGCCCCCAAGGAUCUGACCCACAUCAGCCCCACAGCAGCUCCUGCCCCAUAGAUCUAACCCACAGCAACAGCUACCCCAUUGAUAUGACCCACAUCUGCCCCACAGCAGCUCCUGCCCAAUAG
ensembl:lncRNA